rnacentral:rRNA from 1 species
ACUUUGGAGGUAUCAGAAGUGAGAAUGCAGGAAUAAGUAGCGAGAAAGGGGGCGAGAAUCCCCCUCGCCGGAAGACCAAGGUUUUCAGGGUAAAGCUUGUCUUCCCUGAGUAAGCCGGGACCUAAGCCCAGGCUAUAAUGCGUAGGCGAAUGGAAAACAGAUUAAUAUUUCUGUGCCAGUCAUUUAUUGUGAUGGAGGGACGCAGAAGGGUAUGUGCGCGGACGAUCGGUUGUGUCCGUAGAAGUAUGUAGGGUGACUUAGUAGGUAAAUCCAUUAAGUUAUAUCUGAGGUAUGAUAUACAGUCGUAAGAUGAAUGCGCAAAUCCCACGCUGCCAAGAAAAGCUUCUAACGUUAAUAUAUGACUGCCCGUACUGUAAACCGACACAGGUGGUCAGGAUGAGAAAUCUAAGGCGGACAGGCUAACUCUCGUUAAGGAACUCUGCAAAAUAACCUCGUAACUUCGGGAGAAGAGGAGCCCUUGUGUGUGAGUAUACACGCGAUACAAAGCGCACGAGGGUCGCAGUGAAGAGGCUCAAGCAACUGUUUAACAAAAACACAGGUCUAUGCUAAGCUGUAAGGCGAUGUAUAUGGGCUGACACCUGCCCAGUGCUGGAAGGUUAAGAGGAGGAGUGAGAGCUCCGAAUUGAAGCCCCAGUGAACGGCGGCCGUAACUAUAACGGUCCUAAGGUAGCGAAAUUCCUUGUCGGGUAAGUUCCGACCUGCACGAAUGGUGUAAUGAUUUGAGCGCUGUCUUGACGGGAGGCCUGGUGAAAUUGUAUUACCGGUGAAGAUACCGGUUACCUACAGUAGGACGGAAAGACCCCAUGGAGCUUUACUGUAGCUUGGUAUUGGGUUUUGGCAUUGCAUGUAUAGGAUAGUUGGGAGACUAUGAUGGUAUGGCGCUAGCUGUAUCGGAGUCAUCGGUGGAAUACCAACCAUUCAAUGCUGAAAUUCUAAUCUGUGGUUUGUAGCCACGGAGACAGUGCUAGGUGGGCAGUUUGACUGGGGCGGUCGCCUCCGAAAGAGUAACGGAGGCGUUCAAAGGUUCUCUCAGGUUGGAUGGAAAUCAACCAUAGAGUGCAAUGGCAUAAGAGAGCUUGACUGCAAGACUGACGGGUCGAGCAGAUGCGAAAGCAGGACAUAGUGAUCCGGCGAUUCCGAAUGGAAGGGUCGUCGCUCAACGGAUAAAAGCUACCCUGGGGAUAACAGGCUGAUCCUACCCGAGAGUCCAUAUCGACGGUAGGGUUUGGCACCUCGAUGUCGGCUCAUCGCAUCCUGGGGCUGGAGAAGGUCCCAAGGGUUGGGCUGUUCGCCCAUUAAAGCGGUACGUGAGCUGGGUUCAGAACGUCGUGAGACAGUUCGGUCCCUAUCCACUGUAGGCGUUAGAAUAUUGAGAAGACCUGUCCUUAGUACGAGAGGACCGGGAUGGACAAACCUCUGAUGUACCAGUUGUCACGCCAGUGGCACAGCUGGGUAGUCACGUUUGGAAUAGAUAAUCGCUGAAAGCAUCUAAGCGAGAAACUAACUUCAAGAUAAGUAUUCUUUAAGAUACCUUUGAGACUAGGAGGUUGAUAGGUUGGGGGUGUAAGUACAGCAAUGUAUUUAGCUGACCAAUACUAAUUAUCAAAGUUUUAAUCUA